rnacentral:misc_RNA from 1 species
CUAAGUUCAGCGGGUAUCCCUACCUGAUCCGAGGUCAACCUUAGAAAGAUUCUCCCUGAGGGGAGGCAGACCGUGUCCCGUAAACCCAUGUGUCCGAUACGUGUCCCGUGAAGAACUCAGUGUACCGGGGGUCCAACGAGGCCGCCGUCAUUGUCUUUGGGAGGGGCAGGGAGCCCCCGAGGGGCCUCCACCAAACCGUC